UACGUAGGGGGCAAGCGUUGUCCGGAUUUAUUGGGCGUAAAGAGCGUGUAGGCGGCCAUUCAGGUCAGCUGUGAAAACUCGAGGCUCAACCUCGAGACGUCGGUUGAAACCGUUUGGCUAGAGUCCGGAAGAGGAGAGUGGAAUUCCCGGUGUAGCGGUGAAAUGCGCAGAUAUCGGGAGGAACACCAACGGCGAAGGCAGCUCGCUGGGACGGUACUGACGCUGAGGCGCGAAAGCGUGGGGAGCGAACAGG
rnacentral:rRNA from 1 species